GACGAACGCUGGCGGCGUGCCUAAUACAUGCAAGUUGAGCGAUGAAGAUUGGUGCUUGCCCCAAUUUGAAGAGCAGCGAACGGGUGAGUAACGCGUGGGGAAUCUGCCUUUGAGCGGGGGACAACAUUUGGAAACGAAUGCUAAUACCGCAUAAUAACUUUAAACAUAAGUUUUAAGUUUGAAAGAUGCAAUUGCAUCACUCAAAGAUGAUCCCGCGUUGUAUUAGCUAGUUGGUGAGGUAAAGGCUCACCAAGGCGAUGAUACAUAGCCGACCUGAGAGGGUGAUCGGCCACACUGGGACUGGGACACGGCCCAAACUCCUACGGGAGGCAGCAGUAGGGAAUCUUCGGCAAUGGACGAAAGUCGGACCGAGCAACGCCGCGUGAGUGAAGAAGGUUUUCGGAUCGUAAAACUCUGUUGGUAGAGAAGAACGUUGGUGAGAGUGGAAAGCUCAUCAAGUGACGGUAACUACCCAGAAAGGGACGGCUAACUACGUG
rnacentral:rRNA from 1 species